UGAGAGAGAGAGAGAGAGAGAGAGAGAGACAUCGAGGGCUGGUUCUUUGAUUUCCAUCGAUUUUUGGUGAUUUUGAUCUAGAAAAUCUUGUUCUCCCUCCUGACCUGAGCGUAUAUCUUCGAGAUUGUUCGAAUCCUUCUGAUCUAAAUCGAUCUAGGGCUCAAGACUACAUUUGAUGCACCUGGGGGUACUGACCCCGUUGUAUUAAGCCUUGGUUCCAUGGGGAAAGGUGAAGCUUGGGUUAAUGGCCAAAGUAUAGGUCGAUAUUGGAUCUCAUUUCUUACCCCUGCAGGGACUCCUACACAGAUAUGGUUAUGAGACAUUUGUGUGAGCUUAAGUAUAACAGUUUCCUCUGCAAAUCCACUUCUUCAAGAUCAAGCAUGAAAAGUCUUCACCAAUUAUGGCCCAAGGCCUGGAUUUUUUCCAGAUGAUAAAUAUCAAAAGAAAGGUGUAGAUUUUGCCAUAUCUAGGCUGUUUUUGAACUUCUGACCAAUGAUUUGACUUGAUGCUAUCUCUUUAUGUACUAACUUGUAUCUCUGUGUCUUCGAACAUUACUUUGUUGAAUAUGCAGGCUGCGAAAUCUGAUUCCAAUUCUAGUAAGUCCUUUUAAACCUUCCUUGUGGUUGGCUGCAAUUUCUUAGCACGAUACUUAUAGAACUCGUCUUUCAGAACACAAGAUGCCCGAUGGGAACUGGAAGUGUGAGAAAUGCAAUAACAUAAACUACCCUUUUAGGACCAAAUGUAACAGACAAAACUAUGGGGCCGAUAAACCAUCUGAGGGACAGAAAUCCCCUUCAGAACCAGCAGAUGAAAACGAUCAGUGAGUUCUAUAGGAAAUGUUUGUGGGUUGAGAAAGGUCCAGAGUCGGCGUCGUCCAGCUAUGCUCAUUAUGGGUGUCUGAAAGUCAGUCAUGUCGUCGUAUUGCCACACUUGUCAAGUUUAUUCUUCCUUCUCAUGAUUUGUGUCGAGGUGUAUUAAUAAACUGGGAUUUGGUAUUUUUGGUUUAGUAUGGAUCUUUAUUCAUAUUAUG